CACUCCUGCGGGAGGCAGCAGUGGGGAAUUUUGGACAAUGGGCGAAAGCCUGAUCCAGCCAUGCCGCGUGCAGGAUGAAGGCCUUCGGGUUGUAAACUGCUUUUGUACGGAACGAAACGGCCUUUUCUAAUAAAGAGGGCUAAUGACGGUACCGUAAGAAUAAGCACCGGCUAACUACGUGCCAGCAGCCGCGGUAAUACGUAGGGUGCAAGCGUUAAUCGGAAUUACUGGGCGUAAAGCGUGCGCAGGCGGUUAUGUAAGACAGUUGUGAAAUCCCCGGGCUCAACCUGGGAACUGCAUCUGUGACUGCAUAGCUAGAGUACGGUAGAGGGGGAUGGAAGUCCGCGUGUAGCAGUGAAAUGCGUAGAUAUGCGGAGGAACACCGAUGGCGAAGGCAAUCCCCUGGACCUGUACUGACGCUCAUGCACGAAAGCGUGGGGAGCAAACAGGAUUAGAAACCCUAGUAGUCCCAU
rnacentral:rRNA from 1 species